rnacentral:rRNA from 1 species
GAUGAACGCUGGCGGCGUGCCUAAUACAUGCAAGUCGAGCGAACGGACGAGAAGCUUGCUCCUCUGAUGUUAGCGGCGGACGGGUGAGUAACACGUGGAUAACCUACCUAUAAGACUGGGAUAACUUCGGGAAACCGGAGCUAAUACCGGAUAAUAUUUUGAACCGCAUGGUUCAAUAGUGAAAGACGGUUUUGCUGUCACUUAUAGAUGGAUCCGCGCUGCAUUAGCUAGUUGGUAAGGUAACGGCUUACCAAGGCAACGAUGCGUAGCCGACCUGAGAGGGUGAUCGGCCACACUGGAACUGAGACACGGUCCAGACUCCUACGGGAGGCAGCAGUAGGGAAUCUUCCGCAAUGGGCGAAAGCCUGACGGAGCAACGCCGCGUGAGUGAUGAAGGUCUUCGGAUCGUAAAACUCUGUUAUUAGGGAAGAACAAAUGUGUAAGUAACUGUGCACGUCUUGACGGUACCUAAUCAGAAAGCCACGGCUAACUACGUG